rnacentral:rRNA from 1 species
UGAUCCUGCCAGAGUUCAUAUGCUUGUCUCAAAGAUUAAGCCAUGCAUGUCUCAGUGUAAAGCACUAGAAUUGCGAAACUGCGAAUGGCUCAUUAUAUCAGUUAUAAUUUACUUGAUCGUGGUUUGCACAUGGAUAACUGUGCCAACUGUAGAGCUAAUACAUGCCUCAAAUCCCGCGUGAGGGAUGCAUUUAUUAGAUCAAAACCUUCCCGGGUAAAACCGGUGUUGAUGAAUCAUAAUAACUUGGCGAAUCGCAUGGUCUUUUGGCCGGCGAUGCAUCAUUCAAAUAUCUGCCCUAUCAGCUCUCGAUGGUAGUGUAUUGGACUACCAUGGCGUUAACGGGUAACGGAGAAUUAGGGUUCGAUUCCGGAGAGGGAGCCUGAGAAACGGCUACCACAUCUAAGGAAGGCAGCAGGCGCGUAAAUUACCCAAUCCUGACUCAGGGAGGUAGUGACAAGAAAUGACAACGUAGGGCUCUCAACGUCUUGCGAUUGUAAUGGGUCUAAUCUAAAACCCUUAAUGAGGAACAACUGGAGGGCAAGUC